rnacentral:sRNA from 1 species
GUCAACUACCCCCGCCUAAAAGCGGGAGCAUACAGAUACUCAAGUUGACCAGACUCAGUGAGGCGGGAAACCGCUGAACUACGUUGGAUAAGAAUACAUAGGCACUCCGGGAUGUUUAUCCCAGUCCCGGACUCUGC